rnacentral:rRNA from 1 species
GACGAACGCUGGCGGCGUGCUUAACACAUGCCAGUCGAACGGAAAGGCCCUGCGUUUGUGGUGUGCUCGAGGGCCGAACGGGGGAGUAACACGUGAGUAACCUGCCCUUGACUUUGGGAUAACUUCAGGAAACUGGGGCUACUACCGGAUAGGAGCUCCUGCUGCAUGGUGGGGGUUGGAAAGUUUAGGCGGGUGGGGAUGGACUGGCGGCUUAUGAGCUUGUUGGUGGGGUAGUGGCUUACCAAGGCUUUGACGGGUAGCCGGCCUGAGAGGGUGACCGGCCACAUGGGGCCUGCGGUACGGCCCAGAGUGGUACGGGAGGCAGCAGUGGGGAAUAUGGCACAGUGGGCGGACGCGUGAUGAAGAGGCGCCGCGUGCGGGAUGCCGGCUUGCGGGUUGUAAACCGCUUUAGCUUGUGACGCGGCGUGAGUGACGGUAAUGGAUAAAGAAGCACCGGCUAACUACGUG